CGCGUAGGCGGCUUUGUAAGUCGGAUGUGAAAGCCCCGGGCUUAACCUGGGAAUUGCAUUCGAUACUGCUUAGCUAGAGUAUGGUAGAGGGAAGUGGAAUUCCGGGUGUAGCGGUGAAAUGCGUAGAUAUCCGGAGGAACACCAGUGGCGAAGGCGACUUCCUGGGCCAAUACUGACGCUGAGGUGCGAAAGCGUGGGGAGCAAACA
rnacentral:rRNA from 1 species